rnacentral:rRNA from 1 species
AUUGAACGCUGGCGGCAGGCCUAACACAUGCAAGUCGAACGGUAACAGGAAACAGCUUGCUGUUUCGCUGACGAGUGGCGGACGGGUGAGUAAUGUCUGGGAAACUUCCUGAUGGAGGGGGAUAACUACUGGAAACGGUAGCUAAUACCGCAUAACGUCGCAAGACCAAAGAGGGGGACCCUCGGGCCUCUUGCCAUCGGAUGUGCCCAGAUGGGAUUAGCUUGUUGGUGGGGUAACGGCUCACCAAGGCGACGAUCCCUAGCUGGUCUGAGAGGAUGACCAGCCACACUGUAACUGAGACAAGGUCCAGACUCCUACGGGAGGCAGCAGUGGGGAAUAUUGCACAAUGGGCGCAAGCCUGAUGCAGCCAUGCCGCGUGUAUGAAGAAGGCCUUCGGGUUGUAAAGUACUUUCAGCGGGGAGGAAGGGAGUAAAGUUAAUACCUUUGCUCAUUGACGUUACCCGCAGAAGAAGCACCGGCUAACUCCGUG